AACGAACGCUGGCGGCAGGCUUAACACAUGCAAGUCGAACGCCCCGCAAGGGGAGUGGCAGACGGGUGAGUAACGCGUGGGAACGUGCCCUUCGCUUCGGAAUAGCCCCGGGAAACUGGGAGUAAUACCGGAUACGCCGUAUUGGGAAAGAUUUAUCGGCGAAGGAUCGGCCCGCGUUAGAUUAGCUAGUUGGCGGUGUAAUGGACCACCAAGGCUACGAUCUAUAGCUGGUCUGAGAGGAUGAUCAGCCACACUGGGACUGAGACACGGCCCAGACUCCUACGGGAGGCAGCAGUGGGGAAUCUUGGACAAUGGGCGCAAGCCUGAUCCAGCCAUGCCGCGUGAGUGAAGAAGGCCUUAGGGUUGUAAAACUCUUUCGCCGGAGAAGAUAAUGACGGUAUCCGGAGAAGAAGCCCCGGCUAACUUCGUGCCAGCAGCCGCGGUAA
rnacentral:rRNA from 1 species